AGAGGAGGGUACCUUAGUCAUGUCACUAACAGUCAAAAUACUGCAGGUUUUGUUGAGGGGGAGAUGGGUUUCAAAGUGUGUACUACACACAUCACGCUAUUUUCUCAGGGGUAGGGUGCAAAACAACAUGUCAUGUGAAAGAAACAAAUGUUUGUUUAUGCUCUGAAACAGUUUGUAUGCUCUCUUAGUUUACUGCAAUGUUUCAGUCUUGAAGACCUUCCAGUAGUGGAACAUUUACAGCAGUGUGUGGGUAUCUACCAGGGUUGAGGAGGUCAAUUCAAUUUCAAUCCAGUCAACUCAGGAAGUAAACAAAUUCCAAAAAGUUCUCAUAGACAAGUACUUAGGAUACUUAGAAUUUCACGCAACUCCCUGAAAUGAAAAGGAAUUGACCUCAACCCUGAUAUAUUCUCCAUGUUGAGGGGUUAGGUCUAAUCUUCUCCAUGUUGAGGGGUUAGGUCUAAUCUUCUCCAUGUUGAGGGGUUAGGUCUAAUCUUCUCCAUGUUGAGGGGUUAGGUCUAAUCUUCUCCAUGUUGAGGGGUUAGGUCUAAUCUUCUCCAUGUUGAGGGGUUAGGUCUAAUCUUCUCCAUGUUGAGGGGUUAGGUCUAAUCUUCUCCAUGUUGAGGGGUUAGGUCUAAUCUUCUCCAUGUUGAGGGGUUAGGUCUAAUCUUCUCCAUGUUGAGGGGUUAGGUCUAAUCUUCUCCAUGUUGAGGGGUUAGGUCUAAUCUUCUCCAUGUUGAGGGGUUAGGUCUAAUCUUCUCCAUGUUGAGGGGUUAGGUCUAAUCUUCUCCAUGUUGAGGGGUUAGGUCUAAUCUUCUCCAUGUUGAGGGGUUAGGUCUAAUCUUCUCCAUGUUGAGGGGUUAGGUCUAAUCUUCUCCAUGUUGAGGGGUUAGGUCUAAUCUUCUCCAUGUUGAGGGGUUAGGUCUAAUCUUCUCCAUGUUGAGGGGUUAGGUCUAAUCUACUACUGUACAUGCAGUAAAGGGGUCCC